rnacentral:rRNA from 1 species
AUUGAACGCUGGCGGCAUGCCUUACACAUGCAAGUCGAACGGCAGCACGGGGGCAACCCUGGUGGCGAGUGGCGAACGGGUGAGUAAUGCAUCGGAACGUGCCCAGUAGUGGGGGAUAACCCGGCGAAAGCCGGGCUAAUACCGCAUACGACCUACGGGUGAAAGCGGGGGACCGUAAGGCCUCGCGCUAUUGGAGCGGCCGAUGUCUGAUUAGCUAGUUGGCGGGGUAAAGGCCCACCAAGGCGACGAUCAGUAGCUGGUCUGAGAGGACGACCAGCCACACUGGGACUGAGACACGGCCCAGACUCCUACGGGAGGCAGCAGUGGGGAAUUUUGGACAAUGGGCGCAAGCCUGAUCCAGCCAUGCCGCGUGCGGGAAGAAGGCCUUCGGGUUGUAAACCGCUUUUGGCAGGAACGAAACGGCGCAAGCUAAUACCUUGCGCUAAUGGCGGUACCUGCAGAAUAAGCACCGGCUAACUACGUGCCAGCCGCCGCCGUAAUAC